GAUGAAGAACGUAGCGAAAUGCGAUACGUAAUGUGAAUUGCAAAUUCAGUGAAUCAUCGAGUCUUUGAACGCACGUUGCGCCCCCUGGUAUUCCGGGGGGCAUGCCUGUCCGAGCGUCAUUGCUGCCCUCAAGCACGGCUUGUGUGUUGGGCCCCGUCCUCCGAUCCCGGGGGACGGGCCCGAAAGGCAGCGGCGGCACCGCGUCCGGUCCUCGAGCGUAUGGGGCUUUGUCACCCGCUCUGUAGGCCCGGCCGGCGCUUGCCGAUCAACCCAAAUUUUUUAUCCAGGUUGACCUCGGAUCAGGUAGGGAUACCCGCUGAACUUAAGCAUAUCAAUAAGCGGAGGA
rnacentral:misc_RNA from 1 species